rnacentral:rRNA from 1 species
CGAACGCUGGCGGCGUGCCUAACACAUGCAAGUCGAACGAGAAACUCCGGGCUUGCUCGGAGGAGUACAGUGGCGCACGGGUGAGUAACGCGUGGGUAACCUACCCUUGAACCUGGGAUAACCCCGCGAAAGCGGGACUAAUACCGGAUAUGGUUCCAUAGGCCUCGGCUCUUGGAAUUAAAGGUGACCUCUUCAUGAAAGUUGCCGUUUGGGGACGGGCUCGCGUACCAUUAGCUUGUUGGUAGGGUAAUGGCCUACCAAGGCUACGAUGGUUAGCUGGUCUGAGAGGAUGAUCAGUCACACUGGAACUGGAACACGGUCCAGACUCCUACGGGAGGCAGCAGUGAGGAAUUUUGCGCAAUGGGGGAAACCCUGACGCAGCAACGCCGCGUGAGCGAAGAAGGCCCUCGGGUCGUAAAGCUCUGUCAAGUGGGAAAAAAGCCUUUCGGUUAAUACCCGGAAGGUGUGAUGGUACCACUGGAGGAAGCACCGGCUAACUCC